CAAAGAUUCAGGGGUGUGGCACAGUCUCAACGUGUGGCAUGGAGCCAAGAACUUGGCCAAAAGGAUCCACGUUGCAGCACAGAUCAAGGGCCAUUCCAGUCUCAUCCACUGGAUGAAGGACAUUGUAAAUCACUUUUGGUGGUGCUGCAAAACGGCUGACUCAUCCCACGACUUCCUUCUCACCUUAAGUCUUUCCAAAAUCACGUACUGAUGUAUGCCAGUAAGCAUUCCGCAUAGCCCACCUGCAUUUGAGGCUAGAAUCCUGCUCGCAGCCCUUGACUACAACUACCACAAGGACCGACCACACAGGACGAAACCUGAUGGAAGCAAACAUGCCAGCAUUCCAGACAGACUGAUGAGCAGCAGUGCCCACUGGAGUAAUAACCUCAUAACUGUGCCUGUUGUCACUUUAUAGUCCAUGUUAUAUUCAUUAUUUAUGAGUAUUCAUUCAUAUCUGUAUUGUAAACAUAUUCUGCAUUGCUUUUCCAGUAAGGUCAUUGCCCUGCCUUGAGUUACAUUGCACUAUUAUAGUGAGAAUCACUCGAAUCUUGAUACUAAUAACUAGUAAGUACUUGAAUCUUUAUUACUACAUUUUAUUAUUGUUUUUGUAUUAUUCUUACUGAUCUCAGUAUUCCUAUAUCAUUAAUUUAGUCAUACUAUGUACAGCAGUUAGUUUUAAGAAAUAUUUCACUUAUCACCACUGUAACUUGUGUGUCACAACCAUACAACUCAAUUUGAUUACAAAACCAUCUUGUAAUCCCUUUUGUGUGUAUGUAACUGCCUGUAUUUCUCUGUAAAUAGGAAUAAAAACAA